rnacentral:lncRNA from 1 species
UUUGUUGAGGUAAUUUGUACUACAUAAGACUUUAGGGUUUAAUAGUCUUAAUUGAUUUUUUUUGAAAAAAAUUGUAUAUAUUUAUCCACAUCUAUUAUUUUAUCUAAUUGUUGAUUGUUUUCUUCUUUAGUUCUUUUAUUUAAUAUUCUUGAUAUAAAUUAUUACCUAUGCUAUUUUGAGAGUAGCUUGGUCUAGGUCUUUCUAAUCCUUCUUCGUUUCUUGAUCUAGCUGAAAAAAUGUCCAUUUCUUUUGUUUCUUUAUUGUUUUUUCUUUUUGUGGAGUGAUUUCUAUUUUAGUUAAUUUUUCUAUUAAUUCCUCUACCUCUGUUAUAUUUUUACUUUCUCUUUUUUCUUUGAAAUUUUUAUCUAUUUUGUUAUUUAUUUGUAAUAAUAGUGUUAUUAUUAUAUUAUUUUGUUUUAUGAUAACUUGAUCUGAUUUUGAAGAUCGAUUAAAAUCUUUGUAAUCUGUAGGAAGAGUUAUUCUUUUUUCUAUUAAAAUAGUAGCUUCUUUAUGUGUCUCAGUUUCUACUAAGUCUAUCAUGAAAGAACUAUUUCUUUUAAUACUGCUAAUUCUGUUUUAAUCUCUUGUAUUUUUAUAAUUAAUUUAUUUUUAUUUUCUUCUUUUUGUUUGUUUUUUAGUUCGCUUAAUUUUUUAUUUAAUUCAAUUCCUUGUUCCUUAAUAUAAUCUAAAUUACCCUCUAUUUUUUAAAAAAAACUGUUUUUGUUUAUUUUGAGUUUCUUCUUGUUCACCUAGUAAUGUUAUAAUUUUAUUAUUAUGUUCUCUAAUUUUUUCACUAAAAUUUAUUAUUAAGUCUAUUAGGGUAUUAUAUUGAGAGUCUUCUGUAGUGUGUAAGUAGUGUCCUCCGCUAUCAAAAUUACACUUUAUUACACUAUCGUCUUUUAGCCUUUUAAAUUUCUUUUCUAUAUUUAUCUGUAAAUCUAAAUAUUCUAGAUUUUUAGAGAAACAAUUUUUACUAUAUUCUAUCCUAAAGUUGUUAUUUUACACUUUUCCCUGUGGUCUUUUAUUCUUUUAGUAAAAAUAUAAAUUUUAUCUCUAAUUCCAAGUAAUUCCCACUUUAAAGCACUAUAUAUUCUUCGUUUAUAUGUCUUUGUAAAUAAAAAUUUUCUGGUGUAUAUAAUUGAUUCUCGUAUAUAUUUAAGUAUUCUAUUAUAGAUUUUUCUAUCUUUUGUAAUCUUUGUUUUUCUUCUAGUUCUCUAUAUAAAUACCAAUAAUUUAUUCUUAUACUUCUAGUAAAAGGAUGUUUUCUCAUAAAACUUGUAGCCUCCAAUCUAGAUAUUUCUUGAUCUAAGAUGUCUUAAUAGCUUGUAUUCUAAUUUUUUACAUAAAAAUAAUAGAUUAUUUAGUUUCUGACUAUUAUUUAAUUUUAUUUCUUCUAAAUAUUUUGUAUAUUCAAGAUAUAAUACUAAUAACUCUUUUUUAACCUUACGAUAUUCUUUAGUAUUUUUAUGGGGUCUUCUCAUAUAUGUUUAUCCCAUAGGGUUAUUGUAAAAACACUAUUUUUAAAAUAUUUUAUCCGUGCUAUAGUCUCUCUAAUUUCUUGAUUUACGGUAUCUAUCUUUAUAGUAACUUUAUUUUUUUCUUGUCUUACUACUAUCUGAAGUGCUUUUACCGAAAAUUUAUAUAAAUAUGUUGAAGAUAAUCGUAAUUCUAAAGUAGCUAGAUUAUUUUCUAGUGAUUUUUAUAUGAUUUUAAUAGUUUUAAAUAUUAUCUUAUUCCAAACAUAUAUGUCAUGGUUCCUUACUUCGACAGGGUACAAAUAUCUAAAUUUGAUAUUUUAGAUACUUUUUCAGACCUAUUGCCAAUACUAAGUAGCAGUCAAAAAUUUGAAUCCAUUUUCCUGAUGUUAUGCAUGGAUCAGGUAUAUCGUGGCGAAUUCUUCAGAAAAAAUUGUGUCUUCCACAAUGGAAUCUGAUAAGUGAGAUCUCGAGUAAGUGUUUACAUAAUCUUCUUCUGUCCGAAGAAAUGAUUCAUCGAAAUAAUGAGUCACCAUUGAUAUCGACACAUCUGAGAUCACCAAAUGCUCGGGAGUUCCUCUAUUCAAUCUUUUUCCUUCUUCUUGUUGCCGGAUAUCUCAUUUGUACACAGCUUCUCUUUGUUUCCCGGGCCUCUAUUGAGUUACAGACAGAGUUCGAAGGGUAAAAUCUUUGAUGACUCCAUCAUCUAUGAUUGAGUUGCGAAAACUUCUGGAUAAGUAUCCUACAUCUGAACCAAAUUCUUUCUUGUUAAAGAAUCUCUUUCUAGUUGCUUUGGAACAAUUAGGAGAUUCUCUAGAAGAAAUACGGGGUUCUGCUUCUGGCGGCAACAUGCUUGGUCCCGCUUAUGGGGUGAAAUCAAUACGUUCUAAGAAGAAAGAUUGGAAUAUCAAUCUCAUCGAGAUCAUCGAUCUCAUACCAAAUCCCAUCAAUCGAAUCACUUUUUUGAGAAAUACGAGACAUUUAAGUCAUACAAGUAAAGAGAUCUAUUCAUUGAUAAGAAAAAGAAAAAACGUGAACGGGGAUUGGAUUGAUCAGAAAAUAGAAUCCUGGGUCGCGAACAGUGAUUCGAUUAAUGAUGAAGAAAGAGAAUUCUUGGUUCAGUUCUCCACCUUAACGACAGAAAAUAGGAUUGAUCAAAUUCUAUUGAGUCUGACUCAUAUUGAUCAUUUAUCAAAUAAUGACUCUGGUUAUCAAAUGAUUGAACAACCGGGAGCAAUUUACUUACGAUACUUAGUUGACAUUCAUAAAAAGCAUCUAAUGAAUUAUGAGUUCAAUCCAUCCUUUUUAGCAGAAAGACGGAUAUUCCUUGCUCAUUAUCAGACAAUCACUUAUUCACAAACUUCGUGUGGGGAAAAUAGUUUUCAUUUCCCAUCUCAUGGAAAACCCUUUUCGCUCCGCUUAGCCUUAUCCCCCCUCUAGGGGUAUUUUAGUGAUAGGUUCUAUAGGAACUGGACGAUCCUAUUUGGUCAAAUACCUAGCGACAAACUCCUAUGUUCCUUUCAUUACGGUAUUUCUGAACAAGUUCCUGGAUAACAAGUCUAAAUGUUUCUUCUUGAUGAGAUCGAUAUUGAUGAUAGUGACGAUAUUGAUGAUAGUGACAAUCUUGAUGCUAGUGACGAUAUCGAUUGUGACCUUGAUACGGAGCUGGAACUGCUAACUAGGAUGAAUGGGCUAACUGUGGAUAUGAUGCUGGAAAUAGACCUAUUUUAUAUCACCCUUCAAUUCGAAUUAGCAAAAGCAAUGUCUCCUUUCAUAAUAUGGAUUCCAAACAUUCAUGAUCUGAAUGUGAAUUAGUCGAAUGACUUAUCCCUCGGUCUAUUAGUGAACCAUCUCUCCAAGGAUUGUGAAAGAUGUUCUACUAGAAAUAUUCUUGUUAUUGCUUCGACUCAUAUUCCCCAAAGAGUGGAUCCCGCUCUAAUAGCUCCGAAUAAAUUAAAUACGUGCAUUAAGAUACGAAGGCUUCUUAUUCCACAACAAUGAAAGCACUUUUUCACUCUUUCAUAUACUAGGGGAUUUCACUUGGAAAAGAAAAUGUUCCAUACUAACGGAUUCGGGUCCAUAACCAUGGGUUCCAAUGCACGAGAUCUUGUAGCACUUACCAAUGAGGUCCUAUCGAUUAGUAUUACACAAAAGAAAUCAAUUAAACACGCUAAUACAAUUAGAUCCGCUUUUCAUAGACAAACUUGGGAUAUGUGAUCCCAGGUAAGAUCGGUUCAGGAUCAUGAGAUCCUUUUCUAUUUGAUAGGAAGGGCUGUAGCACAAAAUGUACUUCUAAGUAAUUGCCCCAUAGAUUCUAUAUCUAUCUAUAUGAAGAAGAAAUCAUGUAAUGAAGGGGAUUCUUAUUUGUACAAAUGGUACUUUGAUCUUGGAAUGAGCAUGAAGAGAUUAACGAUACUUCUUUAUCUUCUAAGUUGUUCUGCCGGAUCGGUCGCUCAAGAUCUUUGGUCUUUAUCCGUACUCGAUGAAAAAAAGGGGAUCACUUCUUAUGGACUCGUUGAGAAUGAUUCUGAUCUAUUUCAUGGCCUAUUAGAAGUAGAGGGCGCUCUGGUGGAAUCUUCACGGAUAUAAAAAGAUUUCAUUCAGUUUGAUAAUGAUCGAGUGACAUUGCUUCUUCGGCCCGAACCGAUGAAUCCCUUAGAUAUGAUACAAAAGGGCUCUUGGUCUAUCCUUGAUCAGAGAUUUCUCUAUGAAAAAUAUGAAUCGGAGUUUGAAGAAGGGAGGGAGAAGGAGCCCUUGACCCGCAGGAGGAUUUAUUCAAUCACAUAGUUUAGGCUCCUAGAAUAUGGCACCCUUGGGGCUUUCUAUUUGAUUGUAUCGAAAGGCCCAAUGAAUUGGGAUUUCCUCAUUGAUCCAGGUCAUUUCGGGGCAAGCAGAUCAUUUAUGAUGAAGAGGAUGAGCUUCAAGAGAAUGAUUCGGGGUUCUUGCAAAGUGGAACCAUGCAGUACCAGACACGAGAUAGAUCUCAAGGCCUUUUUCGAAUAAGCCAAUUCAUUUAGGACCCUGCAAAUCCACUCUUUUUCCUAUUCAAAGAUCAGCCCCCUGGCUCUGUGUUUUCACAUCGAGAAUUAUUUGCAGAUGAAGAGAUGUCAAAGGGGCUUCUUACUUCACAAACCGAUCCUCCAACAUCUCUUUAUAGACGGUGAUUUAUCAAGAAUACGCAAGAAAAGCACUUCGAAUUGUUUAUUAAUCGUCAGAGAUGGCUUAGAACAAUGGAUCUUUCCAUUCUAAUACUCUAUUCGAGAGUUAUCAGUAUUUAUCAAAUCUGUUCCUAUCUAACAGAAAACUAUUGGAUCAAAUUCUAAAGACAUUGUUGAGAAAAACAUGGCUUUUUCCCGGAUGAAAUGAAAAUUGGAUUCAUGUAACAAGAGAAAGAUUUCCCAUUCCUUAGUCGGAAAGAUAUGUGGCCAUGAAAGAGGGAUUAAGUGGAACAGAAUUGACUGGGUGGUAGAGUCGUGGAAACGCUUGUUUCUUCCAUAUUUUGGAUCUUAGCUCCAUGGAAGAAUA